rnacentral:rRNA from 1 species
AUUGAACGCUGGCGGCAGGCCUAACACAUGCAAGUCGAGCGGAUGAAGGGAGCUUGCUCCUGGAUUCAGCGGCGGACGGGUGAGUAAUGCCUAGGAAUCUGCCUGGUAGUGGGGGAUAACGUCCGGAAACGGGCGCUAAUACCGCAUACGUCCUGAGGGAGAAAGUGGGGGAUCUUCGGACCUCACGCUAUCAGAUGAGCCUAGGUCGGAUUAGCUAGUUGGUGGGGUAAAGGCCUACCAAGGCGACGAUCCGUAACUGGUCUGAGAGGAUGAUCAGUCACACUGGAACUGAGACACGGUCCAGACUCCUACGGGAGGCAGCAGUGGGGAAUAUUGGACAAUGGGCGAAGGCCUGAUCCAGCCAUGCCGCGUGUGUGAAGAAGGUCUUCGGAUUGUAAAGCACUUUAAGUUGGGAGGAAGGGCAGUAAGUUAAUACCUUGCUGUUUUGACAUUACCAACAGAAUAAGCACCGGCUAACUUCGUG